rnacentral:rRNA from 1 species
UACAGAGACUGCAAGCGUUAUUCGGAUUCACUGGGCGUAAAGGGUGCGCAGGUGCCAAGUGUGUGAGGCGUGAAAGCCUGGGGCUUGAACUCCAGAAUUGCACCUCAAACUAACCUUGGCUAGAGCAUUGGGAGAGGGGAGCAGGAAUUCACGGUGUAGCAGUGAAAUGCGUAGAUAUCGUGAGGAAUACCAGAGGCGAAGGCGGCCCCCUGGACAAUUGCUGACACUCAGGCACGAAAGCGUGGGGAGCAAAAGGG